rnacentral:rRNA from 1 species
AUUGAACGCUGGCGGCAGGCCUAACACAUGCAAGUCGAACGAGUGGCGGACGGGUGAGUAAUGUCUGGGAAACUGCCCGAUGGACGGGGCUAACUACUGGAAACGGUAGCUAAUACCGCAUACCAUCGGAUGUGCCCAGAUGGGAUUAGGGAGGAGGUGGGGUAAUGGCUCACCUAGGCGACGAUCCCUAGCUGGUCUGAGAGGAUGACCAGCGACACUGGAACUGAGACACGGUCCAGACUCCUACGGGAGGCAGAAGUGGGGAUUAUUGCACAAGGGGCUCAAGCCUGAUGCAGCCAUGCCGAGUGUAUGAAGAAGGCCGUCGGGGUGUAAAGUACUUUCAGCGAGGAGGCGUUACUCGCAGAAGAAGCACCGGCUAACUCCGUGCCAGCAGCCGCGGUAAUAC